UACGUAGGGUGCGAGCGUUGUCCGGAAUUAUUGGGCGUAAAGAGCUCGUAGGCGGUCUGUCGCGUCGGCUGUGAAAACCCGGAGCUCAACUCCGGGCCUGCAGUCGAUACGGGCGGACUUGAGUGUUGCAGGGGAGACUGGAAUUCCUGGUGUAGCGGUGAAAUGCGCAGAUAUCAGGAGGAACACCGGUGGCGAAGGCGGGUCUCUGGGCAACUACUGACGCUGAGGAGCGAAAGCGUGGGGAGCGAACAGG
rnacentral:rRNA from 1 species